rnacentral:rRNA from 1 species
GCCAGACUCCUACGGGAGGCAGCAGUGGGGAAUAUUGCACAAUGGGGGGAACCCUGAUGCAGCGACGCCGCGUGGGUGAAGAAGUCAUUCGUGACGUAAAGCCCUAUCAGCAGGGAAGAAAAUGACGGUACCUGACUAAGAAGCCCCGGCUAACUACGUGCCAGCAGCCGCGGUAAUACGUAGGGGGCAAGCGUUAUCCGGAUUUACUGGGUGUAAAGGGAGCGUAGACGGCGGCGCAAGUCCGGAGUGAAAGCCCGCGGGCCAACCGUGGGACUGCUCUGGAAACUGUGCGGCUUGAGUGCGGGAGGGGCAGGCGGAAUUCCUAGUGUAGCGGUGAAAUGCGUAGAUAUUAGGAGGAACACCAGUGGCGAAGGCGGCCUGCUGGGCUUUUACUGACACUGAGGCUCGAAAGUGUGGGGAGCAGACAGGAUUAGAUACCCCGGUAU